rnacentral:rRNA from 1 species
UUUGAUCCUGGCUCAGGUCAGACGCUGGCGGGAUGCUUUACACAUGCAAGUGAACGGCAGCACGGACUUCGGUCUGGUGGCGAGUGGCGAACGGGUGAGUAAUGUAUCGGAACGUGCCUAGUAGCGGGGGAUAACUGCGACGUAGCUAAUACCGCAUACGCCCUUCGGGGAAAGCGGGGGACCUUCGGGCCUCGCGCAUAUUGGAAGCAGCCGAUAUCGGAUUAGCUAGUUGGUGAGAUAACGGCUCGCAAGGCGACGAUCCGUAGCGACUGGUUUGAAGAGGACGACCAGCCACACUGGGACUGAGACACGGCCCAGACUCCUACGGAGAGCAGCAGUGGAAAUUUUGGACAAUGGGGAAACCCUGAUCCAGCCAUCCAUGCGCGAUGAAGACUUCGGGUUGGCAGCACUUUUGGCAGGAAAAAAACGGCACGGGAUAAUACCCGUGCAGCUGACGUACCUGCAGAAUGGCAGCGCUACGUGCCAGCAGCGCUGACGAUGAGCACGUAGGGUGCAAGCGUUAAUCGGAAUUACUGGAGCGUAAAGCGUGCGCAGGCGGUUCGGAAAGAAAGAUGUGAAAUCAGGCUUAACUUUGGAGACUGCAUUUUUAACUACCGAGCUAGAGUGUGUCAGAGGUGGAAUUCCGCGUGUAGCAGUGAAAUGCGUAGAUAUGCGGAGAAGACACCGAUGGCGAAGGCAGCCUCCUGGGAUAACACUGACGCUCAUGCACGAAAGCGUGGGGAGCAAACGGGAUUGGGCCCUGGUAGUCCACGCCUAAACGAUGUCAACUAGCUGUUGGGGCCUUCGGGCCUUGGUAACAACUAACGCGUGAGGCCGACCGCCUGGGAAGUACGGUCGCAAGAUUAAAACUCAAAGGAAUUGACGGGGACCCGCACAAGCGGUGGAUGAUGUGGAUUAAUUCGAUGCAACGCGAAAACCCUUUACCUACCCUUGACAUGUCUGGAAUCCCGAAAGAGAUUUGGGAGUGCUCGCAAGAGAACCGGAACACAGGUGCUGCAUGGCUGUCGUCAGCUCGUGUCUCGUGAGAUGUUGGAUUAAGUCCCGCAACAACGAGCGCAACCCUUGUCAUUAGUUGCUACGAAAGGGCACUCUAAUGAGACUGCCGGUGACAAACCGGAGGAAGGUGGGGAUGACGUCAAGUCCUCAUGGCCCAUAUGGGUAGGGCUUCACACGUCAUACAAUGGUCGGGACAGAGGGUCGCCAACCCGCGAGGGGAGCCGUCCCAGAAUUCCGAUCGUAGUCCGGAUCGCAGUCUGCAACUCGACUGCGUGAAGUCGGAAUCGCUAGUAGCUCAUGUGGAUCAGCAUGUCGCGGUGAAUACGUUCCCGGGUCUUUACCGCCCGUCACACCAUGGGAGUGGGUUUUACCAAGUAGUUAGCCUAACCGUAAGGAGGGCGAUUACCACGGUAGGAUUCGCAGACUGGGGUGAAGUCGUAACAAAGUAG